UGCCCACCCCCAACCAUCACCACCAACAGCCAGGUUAAUUGUAGCCUCCAGGCGCAGUCCUCUUCAGCCAGUCCGCCAAAACCAUCGGGAGGAGCUGGCCCAUUGGCGGAGAUCUAGGGAAGGAAAUCCCGUCCGGUCCGGUUCCAAACAAAGAAAGUUGGUCCUCCCAGGACCUGCAGUUAAUCAGUCAAAGCCAGACGGACAGGAGACGGUGGGGAGAGGCCUGCCUGGGAGGAGGCUUGAGGGAGGGAGAGACAGGAGGGGAAGAAAGAGGCCUUAAGAGGGCCUGGGGUAACUGAGAAGGCACCACCCGUCUCUGGAGGGCCUGAAGAGGCUGGUUUGUGCGGAGCCGAAGUCCCCACCUGGCCAGCUGUCCCCUCCCCUCCUCCCCUAGGCAGGGCGAAAGAGUCGGAGGGAGGCUGAGAGUUGGUGGCGAAGUAAUGAUUAACUCUCUUAGCAGCCCGGCCCGAAGCCCGCGGCCUCAUCGGGCUGUGGUCGAGGGAGACAGUGCAGGCUGACCCAGGACGUCCCCGGCGUUACCGCCACCGUCAUCGCCGCCGCGACCAAGGGACCUACAGAGGGUGGGGGCACGCGACAGCGGGGGCAGCCGAAAGGGAGCGGAGUGCAGGGCCAGGGGAGCACACUCCAGAGGUGGGGAGACCACAGGGAGCGAAACAGCCACAGCUGAGAUACAGGAAAGGAAGGGGCCCCGCGGGUGAGCGGUCGCGGCCGGGCCGCGCUGGGGAGAGUUGGAGAGGGGCGGGAGGACCGGGCUGAGUUUCCCGGAGUUGCGAGCAGGCACCAAAUCUACCGCCUCGGAUCCAUCCGCGGCGCACCCGCCCUCUCUUCCUCCUCUCCCAACAGCUGUGUGGAUGUGAGGAGCGGGUGGAGAGCGCGCCAGAGCCGGGAGCUGGCAGUCUCAUAGAACAAGGCACAUUGUAGAAGAUGAUAACUUCUCGCUAAUCCCAAGACAUCUGAGAAAGCAGCACCCAAGAGUAGAAGAUGGAGUCAGCACUCCGAAGGUGGACUCCACCUUUCUCAGCUCUGAAAUGUACCAGCUCUGUGACUUUGGAUAAAUCCCUUGAACUCA